AUUGAACGCUGGCGGCAUGCCUUACACAUGCAAGUCGAACGGCAGCACGGGAGCAAUCCUGGUGGCGAGUGGCGAACGGGUGAGUAAUAUAUCGGAACGUGCCCAGUCGUGGGGAUAACGUAGCGAAAGCUACGCUAAUACCGCAUACGAUCUAUGGAUGAAAGCGGGGGAUCGCAAGACCUCGCGCGAUUGGAGCGGCCGAUAUCAGAUUAGGUAGUUGGUGAGGUAAAGGCUCACCAAGCCGACGAUCUGUAGCUGGUCUGAGAGGACGACCAGCCACACUGGGACUGAGACACGGCCCAGACUCCUACGGGAGGCAGCAGUGGGGAAUUUUGGACAAUGGCGCAAGCCUGAUCCAGCAAUGCCGCGUGCAGGAUGAAGGCCUUCGGUUGUAAC
rnacentral:rRNA from 1 species